GACGUAGGGGGCAAGCGUUGUUCGGAAUUAUUGGGCGUAAAGCGCUCGUAGGCGGGACUGGAAGUCCGUGUUGAAAGACCUCGGCUCAACUGAGGGACCCGGCUCGGAUACUCUAGUUCUUGAGGCAAUCAGAGGGUGAUGGAAUUCCCGGUGUAGCGGUGAAAUGCGCAGAUAUCGGGAGGAACACCGGUGGCGAAGGCGGUUCUCUGGGCCU
rnacentral:rRNA from 1 species